ensembl:lncRNA
UUUUCUGUUUCACCGUUUUCCUGAAUAACAGUUAGGUGAGGAUGAUUUCAGGACUUGGUCCCAGGUAGCCUAUGCAGUUUUGACCAACGGCAGCUGGCUCUACCGCCCCACUGAGAGGCACUCUGAAAGAAGUCCAGACCGGGCAGAGUGGAGCCCGGGUGAAGAUUAUGAGGAUGAAGACCACGACGGCGUCCCCCCCUGCCUCGGCGGUCAUAUCAUCUCCACGGUUUAGAUGACGUUUUCAAACAGAUGCAUCGACCGCAUGAUGUUAUCGUCCUGCGGGAUGAAAUAACAGAUCCAUUGUGGUCCGUGUCGAAGGCGUUGAACAGAAAAUGUGCAUAUGUCGAGGCGUCUGGGGAGAGAGGCAUGGACAAGAACACAACCUGGUUACACAAUUGUCUUUUCCUGAAAGGAGAAUGGGAGCUUGAUGGCUCUGUUAGAUUGUGUACUGAAGUCCAAGAGUAAAUAUGUUUUGUGAGAUACAGUGGUAACAAUAAGUUUAUGCACCCAUGCUAAAGUUGACUAAAAAGAGG